UCCACGCUACAUACAUGAUACGUCUUACGCGGGUAUCCAACCUCACCUCAUGUUGCCCUAAUUUAGCCGUCAUCUCGUUCCUCGUCUUCGCUAUAAAUGCCCGUCCAGCACUCAAAGAGAAGAAACCACACCAUUGUUUCGGCGGCGGGGCAGAAAGCUUCGACUGGAGAUCGUCUCGGCGGACUUCCUCCUAUUCGAGCUAUUUGGUGUAAUGUUCUUCUUUUUCUGCUGAACCUCAUCUUAUUUCUUCUCGUCGAUGGUUUUCAUGCAGGAAGUGAUGCGGUUUAAGAGACCAUUCUCGAUAUGAAAUGAUCAGGCAUUUCGAAGCCGGAUCGAUGUAUUCGUCUACUAACGAUGAUAAGUUGAUGGAUUGAUUUGAUUCUCGGCACCUCUUUUUCACUUUUUGUGUUGGGUUACUUGAGGUUUAUUUGAUUUUAUGUUAAUGAAGAUCUUCAAUUUUUUUUUGUUUCUUUUGUAAAACUACUUUGAUGGGUUAGAACUGUGAAGUUGGGGGGCAAUGGUAAAGCGCUUAUGGACGGUCAGAUGCUGAUAAGAACAUGCACAUCAGCAUCUAUUACAAUCACAAGCUAAAGACACCAUUUGCCACUCACAAUCCCUCCUCGAAAGCAAUCAAUUUCGAGGAGAUUACACUUGGUGGCAUUCAUUUUAACUUUAUUUUACAGCUCGUAGUUCAUUUUGUUAUUUUAAUUUUGACUUUAUAGUUUGGGGUAUAAGAUCGUAUCACUUCUGUUAACCAGAUCAUGAUUGAUGGACAUAGAUUAUCUAUCUGAGGGUAUUUGAAAUAUUGCUGAUAUAAAUUACGAACCCUCACAUUUUUUCUUACUAAGUCGUUAUACUAUUUUACUACAUGUUUAUGUUAAUCUUUUGUGCAAAACAAAAUGAUGACUCAAUUUGAGAUUUUCUGCUUAUGGAAGGCCUAGUGCUGAUUUGAAACAAGGACAUCAGCACAACACAAUAUCAUAAGCUAAAGAAAUCAUCUGCCACUUGCAAUCCCUUCUCAAAAUCAAUCAAUUUUGAGGAGACUACACUUGGUGGAAUUCAUUUUAAACUUACAUUCUGCCUAAGUUAAUUGUGAUCGCAAACUCUUUUCUUGCUGAGUUGCUUAAAGUUCAUUAUCUUAUUAUUUUACUUGAUGUUUUGCUAAUCCUUGCAGACAAUAUAUUUUUGAAGGACUGUAUUCUAGAUUUUAAGCGGAAAGAAAAGCAAUAUGCUUAAGGAUAAUCAAGUGUUGAUUUGAAACAGACAUCAAUGCAUAACAAUAUUGUAAACUAUUUGCCACUCACUAAUUCUUCUUGAAAGCAAUCAAUUGGAGAUUGCACUUGCAUUCACAUUCUUUUUAUUUUGGCCUCUUUUAUCUUAUCAAAUUAUGUUGUUUGACCUCAAAAUCAAUCAAUUUUAUUUUGGCCUCUUACUCCAGGUACGUUGCUCUUUAAAUCUGAUCAGGCUAGUAUAGCAUACCAAUACAACUGCAAUGAGGCUAAUUCUGAUUGAUGGAUUAAGCUUAAAUUUUUUAAACAGUAUAAAGAAUAUAAAAUAUUGCCAAACUUGUUUUUCCUCAUUAAUAUGCUCAAGUUAAACUCCAUAUUUUAUAUUCUUUUUCUUUUAUCGUUUGUACAUAAUUUUGAACGGUCCACACGCAUUUCCUGUGGGAUGGAAGGGAAUGUGUUUUUGGAAGGUCAAAUAUUGAUCUGAAACAUGCACAUAAGAAUGGAACUUAACCUGCUUGGUGGCAUUCAUUUUAACCUUAUCAAAUUUUUAUGCUUCUUGUUACAGGAUUUUGUACAGUUUGGGCUUGGUAUAAAUCUAGUUGGGGGAUUAAUAUCACUUCUUUGAUGAUUUUUUUGGGGGCAAAUGUGGGUUUAGAGUAAUUGCCUAUGGACGAUCAAGUGCUUGAUACGAAGCAGAGAAAAUUGCCUUUCCAAUGUACAUCAGCACAAAACAAUGUCAUAAGCUAAAGAGAUACCACAAUCCCUCCUUGCAAGCAAUCAAUUUAGAGGAGAAUACACUUGGUAGCAUACAUUUUGACAAGCUGCUUGCUGCCCUUUGUUUUUUUAUUAUUUGCAGAGAGUAUCACUAGUUGAGGAGGGUACACUAGUUGGCAUUCACUUUAAAGUUGCUGCUGCCUCUUUAUCUCUCAGCAACACGUGAAUGAUUGUACUGACUUUCGUUACUCUUUUAUAUAUAAAUUUCAUCUAUGUACUAGACUUGUGGUAUGAAUUUCUGACUGCAAAUUUUGAUCAGAACUUCA